AAACUUGUGUGACCUGUACUAUACUUAAAGACCAAUUUUCUCAUGCAAUGGGAGUAACUGGGCUAGUAGUUUCUUGUUUGGAGACCCCCACAUAAUAACCCUGGACCAAAGAUCAUUCAUAUUCAAUGGACUGGGAGAAUAUCACUUAGUGCAAAUAAUAGGAACUACAAACCAGCAUUUUAAAUUGCAGGGUAGAACCUGUCGUGCAUUAAACAGUAAUGGCAAUGAAACUUUAGCCACAGUCUGGUGUGCUCUAUCAAUGAUGAGUGGUGAUGAAAAUUCACUCAGAG